AAAUAAGAAGCAAAACCUUGCAUUUAGUUUCGACCUAAAAAUUUAGUGGAAUACACUCUUAUUUU
rnacentral:tRNA from 1 species